AGCGUAGACGGCUGUGCAAGUCUGAGGUGAAAGGCAUGGGCUCAACCUGUGGACUGCUUUGGAAACUGUGCAGCUAGAGUGUCGGAGAGGUAAGUGGAAUUCCUAGUGUAGCGGUGAAAUGCGUAGAUAUUAGGAGGAACACCAGUGGCGAAGGCGGCUUACUGGACGAUGACUGACGUUGAGGCUGAAAGCGUGGGGGAGCAAACA
rnacentral:rRNA from 1 species